GACGAACGCUGGCGGCGUGCUUAACACAUGCAAGUCGAACGAAGUGGCGAACGGGUGAGUAACGCGUAAUCAACCUGCCCUUCAGAGGGGGACACCAGUUGAAAACGAAUGCUAAUCCCGAAUACUGACGGGGGAGGUUGCGGCUGAUUAGCUAGUUGGAGGGGUAACGGCCCACCAAGGCGAUGAGUAGUAGCCGGUCUGGGAGGAUGAACGGCCCAAUUGGGACUGAGACACGGCCCAGACUCCUACGGGAGGCAGCAGGGGGGAAUCAUUCGCAAUGGACGAAAGUCUGACGGAGCAACGGCGCGUGAGUGAUGAAGGCCUUCGGGUUGGAAAGCUCUGUUAAUCGGGACGCGGUACCGGAAUAGAAAGCCACGGCUAACUACGUGCCAGCAGCCGCGGUAAUAC
rnacentral:rRNA from 1 species